GUGCCAAAGUGGUAUAUUUACCUUUCGGCAAAUAAAAUUUGUGUGAUGAUUAAAGUUAGAGCUUUUACCUAAAAAGAAAAAAAAAUCCAUACGUUUGCAAGUCCUCUCAAACUGUAGUUGUUUCCUACUUUAAGCUCCACUCUAGCCAAAGAGUCAACUUCUAAUUUUUAUUGGUUUUAAGAUUUGUCAUUCAUAUCAUGGCAUCUUGCAAGUUGUAUAAAUCUGAUGCAACAAGAUUCUAUGCACUAAAAUAUUUGGAAAGAAUUGGGUUGUGAUGUGAAUACCGCCUGAAAUUUAAUAUUUGACAAGUUUUGACAAAAAUAUUUGUAUCA
rnacentral:misc_RNA from 1 species